rnacentral:lncRNA from 1 species
UCUCCUCCACUUUCAGUAUGUGCAGAACUGUUUUUUCAUAGGUCUUCUUAGAAGCUCUGAUGUGUAUUAACAUACAUUAAAUACAACCUCUUGGGAUAUAUUUAGGUCUUUCAUUCUAUUCUCUAUUUUCCCUCACUUUUCUUUCAGAUUUUUCAUCCCUUGGUCUCUGUGGACUAUGUUAUGAAUAAUACCUUUCCCAGAUCUAGUUCUGAUUCACUAAUUCUGUCUUCACUGUGUAUAUUUGUAUCAUACAUUUCUCUUUUGCAAAGUUCUUGUGCUGUAUUUAAAUUUUCUCUUGUUUUGCUGUUUCUUGGAAUUUUACUUACAUAAAUUCUUUAAGAUCUGAAAUGAAGGUGAGUCCCUCCUGAAAGACUUUGUAUU